CAGUAGCCACGGUAAUACGUAGGUGGCGAGCGUUGUCCGGAAUCAUUGGGCGUAAAGGGAGCGCAGGCGGGCAAGUAAGUCUUUCUUAAAAGUUCGGGGCUCAACCCCGUGACGGGAAAGAAACUACAUGUCUUGAGUACAGGAGAGGAAAGCGGAAUUCCCAGUGUAGCGGUGAAAUGCGUAGAUAUUGGGAGGAACACCAGUGGCGAAGGCGGCUUUCUGGACUGCAACUGACGCUGAGGCUCGAAAGCCAGGGGAGCGAACGGGAUUAGAUACCCGCGUAGUCCCUGUCUCUUAUAAC
rnacentral:rRNA from 1 species